ensembl:lncRNA
UGUUUCACAGAUACAGUUAAUUGUUUAAAAAACGUUUGAAAUUAUACACUUUUUUUGGAUAACUUGUCUUAAUUCCAUCAAAGAUGCUUAUCCAAAAAACAGAAACCCUCAUCCCCUUUGAUGAGCAUGAGGAGCUCAUCACAGCCCUCCUUGCUGGGCGGUGGUGGGCAGUGAUGGAGAUCGAAGACCAUUUACGCUCCUCAUGUGAGAAGGUUGAGUGUGGGGACCUCCCUAUAGACCAGGAAAUAGAGGCCCCACAAGGAGCACCUGUUCCUGUCAGCUCCACACAGGAAGUGCCUGUGCCUUCCAGGAUCCUAAAAGGACCAGUUGUUCCCAACGGGUCCCAACAGGAAGUGCCUGUGUCUUCCAGGACCACAAAAGUACCAACUGUUCCGGACAAGUCUCAAUGGGAAAUGCCUGUGCUUUCCAGGAACCUUCAAGGACCAACUGUUCCGGACGAGUCUCAAUGGGAAGUGCCUGUGCUUUCCAGGAACCUGCAAGGAGCAACUGUUCCUGACGGGUCCCAAAAGGAAGCACCUGUGCCAGCUAGGCCCCCACUGAGGCAAAAACUGAAGAUCCCUGAAAAUAUGAGGCAGUAUCUGACAAGGAAAUCCAUCUUAACAUCUUUGCCUUUAAGGCAACCCAUGGGACGACCUAUACCCCCAGCAUCCCUUGAGCAAGCACCUGUGCCUGUUGCGUCCCCCGAGGAAGCACCUGUUCUGGCCAGAACCCUGCAAGGAGCAACUGCUGCCAGUGGGUCCCAACAUGGAGCACCUGUUCCUGUCAGCUGCAAACAGGAAGUGCCUGUGCCUUCCGGGAUUCUUAAAGGAUCAGUUGUUCCCAAGGGGUCCCAACAGGAAGUGCCUGUGACUUCCAGGACCACAAAAGGACCAACUGUUCUGGACGAGUCUCAGUGGGAAGUGCCUGUGCUUUCCAGGGACCUGCAAGGAGCAACUGUUCCUGACGGGUCCAAACAGGAAGCACCUGUGCCAGCUAGGCCCCCACUGAGGCAGAAACUGAGGAUCCCUGAAAAUAUGAGGCAGUAUCUGACAAGGAAAUCCAUCUUAACAUCUUUGCCUUUAAGGCAACUCAUGGGACGACCUAUACCCCCAGCAUCCCCUGAGCAAGCACCUGUGCCUGUUGCAUCCCCCGAGGAAGCACCUGUUCUGGCCAGAACCCUGCAAGGAGUAACUGCUGCCAAUGGGUCCCAACAGGGAGCACCUGUGCCUGCCAGGCCCCCACUGAACAGAAAAAUAAGGGUCCCUGAAAAUAUCAGGCAGUAUGUGACAAGAAAUAUCAUCUUAACGCCUUUGCCCCUAAGGAAACCCAUGGGACGACCUACAUCUUCCAGGACACCUGUUCCCACCACAUCCCCUGGGCAACCUGAUUCUGUUGCAUCCCCUGAGGAUGCACCUGAUCUGGCCAGGACUCCUGAGGAUACACCUUUGCCUGGUGCAUCCCCUGAGGGAGCACCUCUUCCAACCAGGUCCUCUGAGGGAGAUCCUCUUCCAGCCAGGUCACCUCUGAAGUCUUUCGUGCUUGCUGCAUACCCUGAGGAGGCAUCUGUACUCACCACCUCCCCUGAGGGAGCACAUCUUCCAGCCAGAUCCUCUGAGGCAGCACAUGUGCCUGCAGCGUCCUUGGAGGAAGCACCUGUUCCAGCCAGGUCACCUCUAAAUGCAUCUGUGCCUACUGCAUACCCCAAGGAGGCAUCUUUACUCACCACCUCCGCUGAGGGAGCAACUCGUCUGGCCAGGUCCCCUGAGAGAGCAUCUGUACCCGCUGGGUCUACUGAGGUGGGAGCACCUCUUCUGAACAGGUCCUCCAAGGGAGCCCCUGUGCCUGCUGCACCCCCUGUGGAAGCACCUGUACCGUCCAGGUCCACUGAGGAAGCACCUAUGUCCUGUGCAUCCCCCAGAGAAGUACCUGUACCCACCACAUCCCCUAAGAGAGCGCCUGUGCCUUCUGCAUUGCCAGAGGAAGUACCUCUGCCUGGUGCUUCUUCUAAGGGAGCAACUGUGUCCACUGUUCCAGCCAGUUCCCAUGGGGAAUCAGCUACACCCGUCACCUCCCUUGAUGGAGCACACAGACUUACCACACCCCCACAGGGGUCACCACGGAAGAGGUCAUUCCCAUGGAGCAAUGAAGCUUCAGACAAUGUAGGCAUGGUUUAUCUUCCUCCACUGAAAAAACAAUGUAUGGAGAAAGACUCUACAGCCUCUCCAUGUUCUCAGCACACUAUGAAGAGGAUGUGCCCAUGGACCACUGGAGAUUCGGACAAUGAUGUGCUUCAGCCUCCUCCACUUAAGAAACGAUGUGUGAGAAAAGCCCAGUACCUAAAGAGCACACAUGUAAAGGAUUGUGUACGUCAGCGAUUUCCACAAAAACAGCAGAGCAUCAAAUGAAAGAGGACCUUCACCUUCGCACUUUACUACUGUUACUGUGUUUUUUGAUAAUGAAUGAAUCAAUAAAAAAC